rnacentral:rRNA from 1 species
GAGUUUGAUCAUGGCUCAUAACGAACGCUGGCGGCAGGCUUAACACAUGCAAGUCGAGCGCGCCCUUCGGGGUGAGCGGCGGACGGGUGAGUAACGCGUGGGAACAUGCCCUUCUCUACGGAAUAGCCCUGGGAAACUGGGAGUAAUGCCGUAUACGCCUUUCGAGGGAAAGAUUUAUCGGAGAAGGAUUGGCCCGCGUCUGAUUAGGUAGUUGGUGGGGUAACGGCCUACCAAGCCGACGAUCAGUAGCUGGUUUGAGAGGAUGACCAGCCACACUGGGACUGAGACACGGCCCAGACUCCUACGGGAGGCAGCAGUGGGGAAUCUUAGACAAUGGGGGCAACCCUGAUCUAGCCAUGCCGCGUGUGUGACGAAGGCCUUAGGGUCGUAAAGCACUUUCGCCGGGGAAGAUAAUGACGGUACCCGGUAAAGAAGUCCCGGCUAACUCCGUGCCAGCAGCCGCGGUAAUACGGAGGGGACUAGCGUUGUUCGGAAUUACUGGGCGUAAAGCGCACGUAGGCGGAUUACUAAGUCAGGGGUGAAAUCCCGGGGCUCAACCCCGGAACUGCCCUUGAUACUGGUAGUCUUGAGUUCUGGAGAGGUGAGUGGAAUUCCGAGUGUAGAGGUGAAAUUCGUAGAUAUUCGGAGGAACACCAGUGGCGAAGGCGGCUCACUGGCCAGAUACUGACGCUGAGGUGCGAAAGUGUGGGGAGCAAACAGGAUUAGAUACCCUGGUAGUCCACACCGUAAACGAUGAAUGCCAGACGUCGGGCAGCAUGCUGUUCGGUGUCACACCUAACGGAUUAAGCAUUCCGCCUGGGG